AUCGAACGCUGGCGGCAGGCUUAACACAUGCAAGUCGAGCGGAGAUGAGGUGCUUGCACCUUAUCUUAGCGGCGGACGGGUGAGUAAUGCUUAGGAAUCUGCCUAUUAGUGGGGGACAACAUUCCGAAAGGAAUGCUAAUACCGCAUACGUCCUACGGGAGAAAGCAGGGGAUCUUCGGACCUUGCGCUAAUAGAUGAGCCUAAGUCGGAUUAGCUAGUUGGUGGGGUAAAGGCCUACCAAGGCGACGAUCUGUAGCGGGUCUGAGAGGAUGAUCCGCCACACUGGGAGUGAGACACGGCCCAGACUCCUACGGGAGGCAGCAGUGGGGAAGAUUGGACAAUGGGGGAAACCCUGGUCCAGCCAUGCCGCGUGUGUGAAGAAGGCCUUAUGGUUGUAAAGCACUUUAAGCGAGGAGGAGGCUACUGAGACUAAUACUCUUGGAUAGUGGACGUUACUCGCAGAAUAAGCACCGGCUAACUCUGUUCCAGCCGCCGCAGUAA
rnacentral:rRNA from 1 species